GGUGCGCAGACAAUAAAUAGGAGUUUUUGCCCAUCUUACAUUUAGAAUUACGCGUAAAGUGAUAUUACUAAUAAACCAAACAUAUUAAAGACCUUGGGUCUUUUGAUUUAAGGUCCUUGGUUUGUGAACUUGAAAUUGAGGUCAAGGUCAUAGGUUAAUAUGACGUUCUAGAUUUUGACCUUUGCUUUAAAUUCAUAUAAAUACAUCAUACAGCCAUAGGAACUAACAUUUUAAACUGAUUUUUAAUAUUUCAAUAUCAAAAAAGAUCUUUUCUAGUGGAAAGACCUACAAUUGUUCUCUGAACAAUUGGUUUUUAAUUAUUAUUUUUUUUUUUUUUUUUUUUCUUCCGCCUAAUUUUUUUCUUGCGUAGUAUUGAUGUUUCAAAAGAUGUCGCUUAGAUAUUUGGAAUAUGAUAUCGUAAAGUGUAUGCGCUUUUAAAACUGACAACUGCGUAACCAAAUACUUUGCGUUGUAAGAGUUAUCUCCCCAAACACUGUUUUUCUUGUGGCCACUACUCCUUCGCAACCGUAAAAGAUUACGACAAAUUUAUUUUACCAAAUUGCUCGUUACAUCUUCAGGAUUAGGCAAUUCAUUUGGACCGAAGCUUUCCAGAGACUCCAUAUGAGAGUUAUUUCCCCUUAUGUAAAUGAUAUAAGUAAUAUGCAAUUCUAACUGGUAAACCAUAAGUGAUAGAGACCUAGGGUCUUCAGAUUUGAGGUCCUUGGUCCAAAAAAAUGAAAAUGAGGUCAAGGUCAAAGGUCAAGGUCAUGUUCUAAAUUUUGAUUUUUGCUUAUUUUCACUGAUUUUCAAAUACCGUAUGACAUAUCGACAAAUAAUUUUUCCUAAAUUGUUAUGUGCGACAUGUCCUUACUUGUAUAUUUUGGUUGAAAGGGUGCGCAAAUAAUAAAUGGGAGUUUUUGCCCAUCUUAUAUUUAGCUUUACCCGUAAAGUGAUAUUACUCUUUAACCAAACAUAUUAAAGACCUAGGGUCUUUUGAUUUAAGAUCCUUGGUUUGUGACCUUGAAAUUGAGGUCAAGGUCAUAGGUUAAUAGGACGUUCUAGAUUUUGACCUUUGCUUUAAAUUGAUAUUAAUACAUCAUAAAGCCAUAGGAACUAACAUUUUAAACUGAUUUUUCAUAUUUCCAUAUCAAAAUAGAUCUUUACUAGUGGAAAGACCUUCAAUUGUUCUCUGAACAAUUGGUUUU
rnacentral:lncRNA from 1 species